AGACCGAUAGCGAACAAGUACCGUGAGGGAAAGAUGAAAAGAACUUUGAAAAGAGAGUUAAACAGUAUGUGAAAUUGUUAAAAGGGAACCGUUUGGAGCCAGACUGGUUUGCCUGUAAUCAACCUAGAAUUCGUUUUGGGUGCACUUGCAGGCUAUACCUGCCAACAACAGUUUGAUUUGGAGGAAAAAAUUAAUAGGAAUGUAGCCUCUCGAGGUGUUAUAGCCUAUUAUCAUACUCUGGAUUGGACUGAGGAACGCAGCGAAUGCCUUUAGGCAAGAUUGCUGGGUGCUUUCGCUAAUAAAUGUUAGAAUUUCUGCUUCGGGUGGUGCUAAUGUUUAAAGGAGGAACACAUCUAGUAUAUUUUUUAUUCGCUUAGGUUGUUGGCUUAAUGACUCUAAAUGACCCGUCUUGAAACACGGACCAAGGGA
rnacentral:rRNA from 1 species